rnacentral:rRNA from 1 species
UUUGUAUGUUAUUUUUUUCCUUGAUUAUUAGUAGUUAUGAUCUUUAAAAUUAAAAAAUUUGGCGGUAUUUUAGUCUGUUCAGAGGAACCUGUUUUUUGAUUGAUAGUCCACGAUAAUUUUUACUUUAGUUUUAAAUUUGCAUAUCGUCGUUUAUAAAAAUUUUAGGAGAAUUUUAAUUUUUAGGAUUUUUUAUUAGAUUAUAUUUCAGAUCAAGGUGUAGUUUAUAUUAAAGUUAAAAUGGGUUACAUUAUAGUUAUAUUUGGUUUUAUGAUUUAAAAUUUUAAUUAAAUUGGAUUUGAUAGUAAGUUUUUUAUUUUUGGGAAUUGAUUUAGCUCUAAAAUAUGU